UAUUAUACUAAUGAAUAUUAUAAAAUCUUAAUUAUUAGUAGAUAUUUUCUUUAAAUUUGAAGAAUUUGGCGGUAAUUUAGUCUUGUUAGAGGAACCUGUUUUUGAAUCGAUACACCACGUAAAAUCUUACUCACCUUAAAAUAAAAGUUUAUAUACCAUCAUUAGCGGAUAAUUUUAAAAAAAUUAAUUAUUGAAAUUUAAAAAAUGAAAGAUUGAUUUAAAUUAGAUCAAGGUGUAGCCCAUAGGUGAGUUAAAAUGGGUUACAAUAAAAUUUAUUUAGAACGGAGCAAGUAUAAGAAAGUUGAUUUUGUAGAAGGAGGAUUUAAUUGUAAUGUAGGUUUAAUAAGCCAAGAAGAUAUAAGCUCUAAAUUAU
rnacentral:rRNA from 1 species